rnacentral:sRNA from 1 species
UGGAACAACAUGGCCUCAGGCUUACUGA